GAGCUUAUAGGUUAGUGGUAGAGCACAUGCCUAGCAUGCACAAGGUCCUGGGUUCAAUCCCCAGUAGCUCU
rnacentral:tRNA from 1 species